rnacentral:tRNA from 1 species
GGGGCUGUAGCUCAGUGGCAGAGUGCUUGCCUUGCACAUAUGAGGCACUAAGUUUGAUCCUUAGCACCACUU